AGAAUCAGUGAACAGCCUCUUGCUGCAGAGACUGUUAAUGUCAGAGCAACCCGCGCUCCGGUUCGCCAUCCUGGUUCUUCAAGUUCUUCCAGUUCUAAGAAGACAUACUCUGGGGCACCCAAAAGGGGAGAAAGUGAAACAAAUGCUGUGCACCGUCGGAGGAGCGCAAACAGAGGACAGUAUCGUCAGGCAGCUGCUGUGACUAUCCCAGCAACUCAAACUCAACAGCAACAGAGAAGACCAGCUCAGCAGCAUCAGCGUCAGC
rnacentral:lncRNA from 1 species